rnacentral:rRNA from 1 species
CCUACGGGUGGCAGCAGUGGGGAAUAUUGCACAAUGGGGGAAACCCUGAUGCAGCGACGCCGCGUGAGUGAAGAAGUAAUUCGUUAUGUAAAGCUCUAUCAGCAGGGAAGAAAAUGACGGUACCUGAGUAAGAAGCCCCGGCUAACUACGUGCCAGCAGCCGCGGUAAUACGUAGGGGGCAAGCGUUAUCCGGAUUUACUGGGUGUAAAGGGAGCGUAGACGGCAGUGCAAGUCUGGAGUGAAAGGCGGGGGCUCAACCCCCGGACUGCUGUGGAAACUGUACGGCUGGAGUGCGGGAGAGGAAGGUGGAAUGCGUGGUGGAGCGGUGAAAUGCGUAGAUAUUAGGAGGAACACCGGUGGCGAGGGCGGCUUACUGGACUGUAACUGACGUUGAGGCACGAAAGCGGGGGGAGCAAACAGGAUUAGAUACCCCUGUAGUC